ACUACACAAGACAUGACCACAGGAGGUGACAGCCAGUUUGCGGUCUGCGCUGGGUGAACCAAAGCAGGAAUUGCAGCAGACCCAUGACGCCAAAGUGAGGAGAGUGGCUGAAUGUCUUCGGGUCCCAAGGCUCCAUCAAGAAGUGACCUACAGGUUAUUUUUUUCCAGUUUGGACAACAACUGCUUCUACUGAAUGCGUUGUAGCUUGUACCCCCACCCUCUGGUGACACUAUGCAGCUUUCUUUAAUUGCUUCAAACCAGUUAUGUCAAUGUUCACACCUGCAUAUUUAUUUUUGUGGCUUUUCAAAAAAUUGACUUGGCCUGAAAAGGAAUUCUGUCUCCCACAAGCAGUUCAGCCAUAUGCCUCUUUUUAUUUGGACUUGAAAUUACUACACAAAUUUACAAUUAAGUUAAUCCUUAAAAUUGUAACAUGAAGUUACUCAUUUGUUUACUUAUUGUAUUUUUGGAUAUAGCUAUAGGAAAGCAAACCACACAAUAUAUGCAUUGUUGUUUGCUUUUCUUAUGGAAACUGAUUGGUACUGAAACAGGACAAAUCAGUUUUUAAGAGCACAGUAUGUAAUAAUGGUCAGCGAAGUGUGUGCUGUAUAAACCAAGUUGCUUUUCAAUUUUUGCACUUCAUAAAAUUAUCUAAGAAAUGGCUGUGCUAUUACAGAAUGAUUCAACAGUUAAGUGGUGAGUCACAAUAAUUGGCAGUAAGGUACAAGCUUGGAAUCUAAUUCCACAUUUAUUGCUAAAGUUGAGAACAUAGAACAUAAACGACACUGUGGAGGACUAUUCC